GACUCUCAAUAACAAAUAUCUCGGCUCUCGCAUUGAUGAAAAACAUAGCGAAAUGUGAUACUUGGUGUGAAUUGCAGAAUCCCAUAAACCAUCAAGUCUUUGAAUGCUAGUUGCACCCGAAGCUAUUAGGUUGAGGGCACGUCUGCCUGGGUGUCU